rnacentral:rRNA from 1 species
GAUGAACGCUGGCGGCGUGCCUAAUACAUGCAAGUCGAGCGAACGGACGAGAAGCUUGCUUCUCUGAUGUUAGCGGCGGACGGGUGAGUAACACGUGGAUAACCUACCUAUAAGACUGGGAUAACUUCGGGAAACCGGAGCUAAUACCGGAUGAUAUUUUGAACCGCAUGGUUCAAAAGUGAAAGACGGUCUUGCUGUCACUUAUAGAUGGAUCCGCGCUGCAUUAGCUAGUUGGUAAGGUAACGGCUUACCAAGGCAACGAUGCAUAGCCGACCUGAGAGGGUGAUCGGCCACACUGGAACUGAGACGCGGUCCAGACUCCUACGGGAGGCAGCAGUAGGGAAUCUUCCGCAAUGGGCGAAAGCCUGACGGAGCAACGCCGCGUGAGUGAUGAAGGUCUUCGGAUCGUAACACUCUGUUAUUAGGGAAGAACAUAUGUGUAAGUAACUGUGCACAUCUUGACGGUACCUAAUCAGAAAGCCACGGCUAACUACGUG